AUACGAUUCCUUUUCCCAGCACCAAUAUACUUCUUUCUAUCACAGCUUCCGUUUAAAAGCAUUCAAGGAGUUUCUGAAGCCUACAGCUUGUGAAGAAGAGUGCCUCAUCUGCUGGAAGAACACACUUUACAUAAAAGAGGAUGAGAUUUGGAGAAUGAGAACAUUACUGGAGCCUGACGUGGGGGAAACCAACAAGCCAGGAAGGACGAAAUCAGUUGAGGACCUAAGACCACACUCAAAGCAGAACUCUGAUUGAUCCAGUGAGUGAAGAUGUCGUGGUUGGCAUUGUUCUGAUUGGAUUGGCUUCUGUCACAAUUGGCCAGUUCUUCAGCCACUCAGUACUCUGGCUCUUACCCCA
rnacentral:lncRNA from 12 species